CCUACGGGAGGCAGCAGUGGGGAAUAUUGGGCAAUGGAGGCAACUCUGACCCAGCAACGCCGCGUGAAUGAUGAAGGUCUUCGGAUUGUAAAGCUCUGUGAUGGGGGAUGAACACAAUGACGGUACCCCAAUACAAAGCCACGGCUAACUACGUGCCAGAAGCACCGGUAAUACGUAGGUGGCAAGCGGUAUCCGGCAUGACUGGGCGUAAAGGUUGCGUAGGUGGUUUAGUAAGUUGGCGGGGUAAUGCCGGGGCUCAACCUCGGCGCUACCGCCAAAACUAUUAAACUAGAGUGCAGGAGGGGUGAGUGGAAUUCCUAGUGUAGCGGUGGAAUGCGUAGAUAUAAGGAGGAACAUCAGGGGCGAAGGCGACUUACUGGACUGUAACUGACACUGAGGCACGAAAGCGUGGGGAGCAAACAGGAUUAGAUACCCUAGUAGUC
rnacentral:rRNA from 1 species